rnacentral:rRNA from 1 species
GCUUGUCUCAAAGAUUAAGCCAUGCAUGUCUAAGUAUAACUCUUUUACUUUGAAAACUGCGAACGGCUCAUUAUAUCAGUUAUAGUUUCUUUGAUAGUCCCUUACUACUUGGAUACCCGUAGUAAUUCUAGAGCUAAUACAUGCGUCAAUACCCUUCUGGGGUAGUAUUUAUUAGAUUGAAACCAACCGCUUCGGCGUGAUGUGGUGAUUCAUAAUAAAUUUGCGAAUCGCAUGGCUUUACGCCGGCGAUGGAUCAUUCAAGUUUCUGCCCUAUCAGCUUUGGAUGGUAGGGUAUUGGCCUACCAUGGCUUUAACGGGUAACGGGAAAUUAGGGUUCGAUUCCGGAGAGGGAGCCUGAGAAACGGCUACCACAUCCAAGGAAGGCAGCAGG